rnacentral:rRNA from 1 species
UGGCCUUGACAUAGUAAGAAUCUUUUAGAGAUAAAAGAGUGCUAGUUUACUAGAACUUACAUACAGGUGCUGCACGGCUGUCGUCAGCUCGUGUCGUGAGAUGUUGGGUUAAGUCCCGCAACGAGCGCAACCCUCGUGUUUAGUUACUAACAGUUCGGCUGAGGACUCUAGACAGACUGCCUGGGCAACCAGGAGGAAGGUGAGGACGACGUCAAGUCAUCAUGGCCCUUACGGCCAGGGCUACACACGUGCUACAAUGGGGUAUACAAAGAGCCGCGAUACCGUGAGGUGGAGCAAAUCUCAUAAAAUAUCUCCCAGUUCGGAUUGAAGUCUGCAACUCGACUUCAUGAAGUUGGAAUCGCUAGUAAUCGUAGAUCAGCAAUGCUACGGUGAAUACGUUCCCGGGUCU